GGCAUGGGGAGGUAAGAGAGCAGGGCACAGACUCUGCUGUCUCUUGCUUUACAGAGAAUGCCCUGGACAAUCUUUUCUACUAACGGAGGAUAUGGGUCUAUAUUGAAAAACAGUCCCCAAACAGCAACUGUCAGAGGACAAAGACCUUCAAAAAUCAUUACGCAGGAAGAACAGCUCUACAGGAGAUUGCAGCUUCCAGAGCAGCAUCAGCAAAGCAAAAGUGGGAAAAUUGCCAGUGUAAAAGCAGAGGGUACAGCUCAAAAAAAGAAAAAACCCAGACUGAGACUUUCAGAGCUGAUGUCAGAAGACCCAGCGAUCAGGCAGGAGCUGCACAGCGCACGGUGCCUGCAGACUGCGCUGCUACAGGCCAGAGGUGAAGUGCCUCAGCACAGGCAUAAUGAAAUGCACAGCUUCACCUCCUCGCAUUAUGUUCAAUUAACCAAAGCAACCGUGUUCAGCAAAGUCACAGGGAAUUUUCCAAAGACAGCUAAUGUUGCUUUGGGCCUUCUAAAAAUACACUCCCAGGACUUGCCUUUCACCACUCCUGUGCUGCUCAAAGCCUGUCAUCAGAAAACAGCAGCAACUUGGAUGUAUUUGCCUUGAAACAAAGAGAUUGGAAAGACAGCUAGAAAGGAAAAAAUUGAACUCAAAGACCACUGCAUCAGCAAAGCAAGAAUAAGACUAGAGAAGCAGAGAGAGCAAACAGGAGCAUCCAUCCCAAUUAUCUCCAGAAUCCAGGACAAACCCUGCACUCAUGCCCAGUGCCGCCACCACUGACUGUCUGUGUGCUGCUGCUGCAGCGUCACUGCCUUACACCCACAAACUCCACUGCAGCUGCCUGUUGAGCUGGAAAUUUGAUACACUGCAAAGGCUGCUGACAGCCAGAGGCUGCUCCCUUGUCUAUAAAAUAUCCUGUAAUAAAUUACAUUACAGAUUGGGGAAAAGGAUUCGGAAGAGCGAGAAUUAAAACACAACCUUAUGAGAGCUAAAUGAGACCAAUUAAAGGAGAUU